UGACUUCAUCGCUGUCAUCCCCGCAGUCAUCGUCGCCGUCGCACACCCAUCGUAGCUGGAUGCACUUGCCGUUGCCACAUGUGAACUCGUCCGAGCGACACGUCUCAUCUGAUGUAUUAGAUCCGUCGGAGCAGUCAGCGUUGUCGUCGCACAUCCACGUGAGCGGGACGCACUCGCCGUCUCGUCCUCUGCAGGUGAACUCUUCGGGCCCGCACGACUUCACCUCUGUCAACCCAUUCAUGCACAUGCUAAGUACGAUGCGAAUAUACACCGACACGAUACUCUUACACAAAUCCCUUCAGGGAUUUGAAAUCCAUUUUGGUCUUAUCCUACUUUACCCUUAAGCCUUUUAGAUUUUUUUCCUGUGAAAUAUCUACCGAGAUGUUUUCUAAGUAGAACACCAAUUACUUCGAUGUCCUUGUAAAAUAAUUAUUUUGUUUUACUUUAAUUUUCCCUAAAGUCAAACCGUAAUUGUUUGUUUUCUUUACAUUUUAUCUAAGUUGAGUAAUCAAUUCGUAAAGGAAUAAAUUCAGUAGUAAAAUGCUAAAGUUAUAAA